AUUGAACGCUGGCGGCAUGCCUUACACAUGCAAGUCGAACGGCAGCGCGGAGCUUGCUCUGGUGGCGAGUGGCGAACGGGUGAGUAAUAUAUCGGAACGUACCCAAGAGUGGGGGAUAACGUAGCGAAAGUUACGCUAAUACCGCAUACGAUCUAAGGAUGAAAGUGGGGGAUCGCAAGACCUCAUGCUCCUGGAGCGGCCGAUAUCUGAUUAGCUAGUUGGUGAGGUAAAGGCUCACCAAGGCAUCGAUCAGUAGCUGGUCUGAGAGGACGACCAGCCACACUGGAACUGAGACACGGUCCAGACUCCAACGGGAGGCAGCAGUGGGGAAUUUUGGACAAUGGGGGCAACCCUGAUUCAGCAAUGCCGCGUGAGUGAAGAAGGCCUUCGGGUUGUAAAGCUCUUUUGUCAGGGAAGAAACGGUGAAGGCUAAUAUCCUUUGCUAAUGACGGUACCUGAAGGAUAAGCACCGGCUAACUACGUGCCAGCAGCCGCCGUAAUAC
rnacentral:rRNA from 1 species